GACGAACGCUGGCGGCGUGCUUGACACAUGCAAGUCGAACGGAAAGGCCCUGCUUUUGUGGGGUGCUCGAGUGGCGAACGGGUGAGUAACACGUGAGUAACCUGCCCUUGACUUUGGGAUAACUUCAGGAAACUGGGGCUAAUACCGGAUAGGAGCUCCUGCUGCAUGGUGGGGGUUGGAAAGUUUCGGCGGUUGGGGAUGGACUCGCGGCUUAUCAGCUUGUUGGUGGGGUAGUGGCUUACCAAGGCUUUGACGGGUAGCCGGCCUGAGAGGGUGACCGGCCACAUUGGGACUGAGAUACGGCCCAGACUCCUACGGGUGGCAGCAGUGGGGAAUAUUGCACAAUGGGCGGAAGCCUGAUGCAGCAACGCCGCGUGCGGGAUGACGGCCUUCGGGUUGUAAACCGCUUUCGCCUGUGACGAAGCGUGAGUGACGGUAAUGGGUAAAGAAGCACCGGCUAACUACGUGCCAGCAGCCGCGGUGAUACGUAGGGUGCGAGCGUUGUCCGGAUUUAUUGGGCGUAAGGGCUCGUAGGUGGUUGAUCGCGUCGGAAGUGUAAUCUUGGGGCUUAACCCUGAGCGUGCUUUCGAUACGGGUUGACUUGAGGAAGGUAGGGGAGAAUGGAAUUCCUGGUGGAGCGGUGGAAUGCGCAGAUAUCAGGAGGAACACCAGUGGCGAAGGCGGUUCUCUGGGCCUUUCCUGACGCUGAGGAGCGAAAGCGUGGGGAGCGAACAGGCUUAGAUACCCUGGUAGUCCACGCUGUAAACGGUGGGUACUAGGUGUGGGGUCCAUUCCACGGGUUCCGUGCCGUAGCUAACGCUUUAAGUACCCCGCCUGGGGAGUACGGCCGCAAGGCUAAAACUCAAAGGAAUUGACGGGGCCCCGCACAAGCGGCGGAGCAUGCGGAUUAAUUCGAUGCAACGCGUAGAACCUUACCUGGGUUUGACAUGGAUCGGGAGUGCUCAGAGAUGGGUGUGCCUCUUUUGGGGUCGGUUCACAGGUGGUGCAUGGCUGUCGUCAGCUCGUGUCGUGAGAUGUUGGGUUAAGUCCCGCAACGAGCGCAACCCUUGUUCACUGUUGCCAGCACGUUAUGGUGGGGACUCAGUGGAGACCGCCGGGGUCAACUCGGAGGAAGGUGGGGAUGACGUCAAGUCAUCAUGCCCCUUAUGUCCAGGGCUUCACGCAUGCUACAAUGGCUGGUACAGAGAGUGGCGAGCCUGUGAGGGUGAGCGAAUCUCGGAAAGCCGGUCUCAGUUCGGAUUGGGGUCUGCAACUCGACCUCAUGAAGUCGGAGUCGCUAGUAAUCGCAGAUCAGCAACGCUGCGGUGAAUACGUUCCCGGGGCU
rnacentral:rRNA from 1 species